AUGAGCAUCAUCCACGAUUUUGGGCUGGCGUCAGGACUGAAAGUAAACCUGCAGAAAUCAUCGGUUGCUGCAAUUAGAUGCGAGCAAAUUAACCUACAGCAGGUGCUCCAGAAUUUUGGUGGGCAACAAGCUCAGUUCCCCCUACGAUACCUUGGGCUCCUAGUGACCCUCUCCAGGCUUCGCAUAGUACACUUACAAUUCAUCCUCGACCGGAUCAGAGCUCGCCUGGCAGGAUGGAAGGGACGUCUGCUAACCAUUGCGGGACGACGAGUGCUCGUUAGAAGUGUUCUGUCCACGCUACCCACCUUUGCCCCGACGGUACUGAAGGUGCCAAAGAAGCUGCUAGUUGAGAUAGACAAGAUCAAAAGACGUUUCCUCUGGGCACAAGACGAGAAGAUCAGUGGCGGCAAAUGCAAAGUGAGCUGGCCAGAGGUUUGCACUCCGAUCAUCAACGGCGGCCUUGGCAUCGCCAAUCUACAGCGAUUCAGCCGCGCAUUCAGGCUCCGAUGGCUGUGGCUCACCUGGCUCACACCAAACAGGCCCUAG
rnacentral:rRNA from 1 species